rnacentral:rRNA from 1 species
AGAGGAAGUAAAAGUCGUAACAAGGUUUCCGUAGGUGAACCUGCGGAAGGAUCAUUAGUGAAUAAACAAGUGCUGGCUGUGCUGGUCAUUCGUGGCAUGUGCACGUUAGCCCGUUUCAUUCUAUCUUCCACCUGUGCACUUUGUGUAGUCUAUUGUAUUGCUGCUUUUCAGGCAUUAGUCUGGUUGAGAGGUUGCUUGUUCCCUUGGAUCAGGCUCUUCUUGGGCAUGCAGUAGGCUAUGUUCAUUACCAACACCAUAGAAAUGUUAUAGAAUGUGUAUUAGGCUUUUCAGCCUUUAAAUCAUAAUACAACUUUCAACAACGGAUCUCUUGGCUCUCGCAUCGAUGAAGAACGCAGCGAAAUGCGAUAAGUAAUGUGAAUUGCAGAAUUCAGUGAAUCAUCGAAUCUUUGAACGCACCUUGCGCUCCUUGGCAUUCCGAGGAGCAUGCCUGUUUGAGUGUCAUUAAAUUCUCAAUCCCAUAUAAUUUUGUGUUAUACGGUGAUUGGACUGUGGAGGCUUGCUGGCUUGUUUCAGCUCCUCUGAAAUGUAUUAGCAGGGCUAUCAAUGCCUUCUGUGCUUUGUAUGAUAUGUAUCUAUACACUGUUGCAGUUGCGCAUGUCUGCUUCCAACUGUCUUGUAUGAGACAUUUGACCAAUUUGACCUCAAAUCAGGUAGGACUACCCGCUGAACUUAAGCAUA